rnacentral:lncRNA from 12 species
AUGCAACUCGUCCCCAGCCUGUCCCGGCGGGGGCGGGGUGCCGCGGGUGGCGGGGUGGGGAUAGAAGGGGGGUUUCUGCAGAGAGCAAUCACAGCGGCCGGGCCUGCACCGGGGCAGACGCUCAAUUUUGUUUUUUGUUUGGCAAUAACGAUUCGCAUUAUUUUUGGUCUCCCCGGUGGGCACGGACUUCAAAGCGCCCCGCGGCGGAUGCGCUCUCGGGCUUUUGCGCGCAGCUGGAAACGCGCUGGGUGCAGUUGCGAAACGUACUGCGUAGACGCCCCCGGCGGCGCGGCGGAGGGAAGAGCCGGGCCUGCCCGGGAGCGAGCGAGCGAGCGAGCGCCGGCCCGCGCGAGGCCCGGGGCCUUGAGCACCGCAGCCAGUACCCCCACACCACACCCCCAUUCUGGGCCUCCUAGAGCUGGGUUUCUGGCCUUUGGAGGCGAUCCCGACAGAAGGGUCCAGAAGCGGAGACCCCAGACGCCCAGCUGCCAUGCACACACACACCCGGAAAACCCUGGGGUGAAACUGAGGUUGGACAAGACCAGUUCAGGGGAAGAAGGACGUGCGGGUUUUGCAGCAGCCAAGAGAGAAGCCCAUCUCCAGGCUCCUGGAGAAGGGCUGUCUUCUGUUAUAGUACAAAGAGGAACAGAGACCAGGAAUUGAGGAGAGAGCAGAGAUCUCUGGGGGGAAAGGCCUCCAGAAGAAGCCCCUAUGAGGGACACCUGGGUGGCUCAGCAUUUGAGCAUCUGCCUUUGGCUCAGGAUGUGAUCCUGGGGUCCUGGGAUUGAGUCCCACACUGGGCUUCCUGCAGGAGCCUGCUUCUCCCUCUGCCUAUGUCUCUGCCUCUCUCUCUGUUUCUCAUGAAUAAAUAAAUAAAAUCUUAAAAAAAAAAAAGUCCU